GAUGAUGAUGAUGAUGAUGAUGAUGAUGAUGAGGAAGAGCCAAGUGAGACAAAGCCCUUGACUGUUCAGACAUAAACGUUUUCCUCACGCCGCACACAUACUCCCAUGCUCCAUGUGGACCUGCUGACGUACUUCUGUCAUGUUCAGAAGAUGUUUCCCAUUUCUGUUCAGGCUGAGAUCUUCCUCUGAAAACAGACAGGCUUAAAGGUUAAACGAGAGCAGGAAACGGCUACGAUGACAAUUAAAAUAUUUGCAAAGGCUGUUUGGUUUCCCUAAUAAUGCUCCCCCCACUAUGGAUGCAACAAGUCUCCCUGACCCCAUGUUUCUCUGGUUUACUUCAUUUUUCUUUUUCGUUUAUGUUAACUAUCUAAUGUAAAGGAUUGUGUUGUAUAAACAUGUUGGUAAUGUUAAGAAGGACUGGACUGGUGAACUUUCUCAAUGGUUUUUAACCCACAGGUUCGCUUUCCAAUCUAGUGAGAAAAAAUUCAAAUCUGAAAGCUUUUUUCAUUUAGUUUCUUUUGUACCAUUAGAUACAUUGGAUAAUUUGGACGGACCAAGAUAUUUUGUCUUAGAUACCUAAUAAGUGUUACUAUCUAUCAUAAAUCCCAAUGGCACUUGACCUGUGACAUUUCUGUGUUGAACUCUGGGAUAUCUUGCUUGCUUAGAGACGAGAGCUGUGUUUUUGUGCACUUGUGACACGAUCUGCCUCACGUUUUGUGACCCUGAUGAGAAAUAGACCUUGUUAACACAAACAGAGAAGUUAAUAAAUCAGAACGGCAUCUUUGAUUGAGGUAGGCAGUUAUUUAAAACCAAACUCCAUUUGAGUCUCAUGAGGUCGACUGCAUUCAGAAGUGGAAACUACAUCCACAUUUGUGCCAAAUGAUGUGGGAUAUUGAUGCUUUUUUCAUAUGCAUUCAGUUUAUGACCAACUUCCAGUUAAAUAGAUUUUAAACAUGUCAUGCUCACAUCCAUGCAUCAUAGCUUCUGGUUCUGGUUAUCCUAUCUGUUGUUCAAACUCUGAGGUUGACAAAAUCGUACUUCCCCGAGGGGCUGUGGUCCAAAAUAGCCUGUUAGUAGUUAGUUUGUGUUUUAAUAGGGCCGAGGUCCAAUACUAUCCUUCCGUGGGGUUGCAUACUUUUGGCUAGAGGAUUAUUUUACAUUAGCAGUUUCUUUGACUCAUACUGAGGAUACUAUUUAAGAGAUGAAAUACAAAUGUAUCAUUUAUAUAUGGAUUCUAUAAAUCUACCAGAGAUGUUCAUGCCAGCAGUUAAGGUUCAGCAUAAACUGUACUCAAUUUUAUAAUGUCAGACAUGCAGGUUUUUCAUUUGACUGCAUUUUGUACAAUUACUAAAGCCACCAAUAAAUGUUUUCAGUGCUGAUGAUGUUGGAAAGAUUGUUUCUGGACAAUUUAUUGGAGUUAGAAUGCAGAAAACAUCUGAAUUCUGUUCAUCUGCAGUGCUUUGAUUUCUAGUGGGUAUCAAACGCACACAAGAGGUCGCAAAGGUGUUUUUCUCUAUUAAAAAACUGAUAAACCUUGUUAACGCAUCCCUCACAAUUCAUGGUUAUCUCAAGGAGCAGGGAAACCCCUCGUGCCCAAGUGAACGUCUCACUUCUUAAAAUGCUAUGAAUCUUUAACCAUGUCUGUAAGUAGAUGAUCUUGCUGGUCACACUUAGUGUUCUUGUAGAAAUGCUGUGUAUGUCUUCAAUAUUCUUUGUCAUUGACUUUGAAGACCUGGAUAGACUGGGCAUGACACCACGUGUAACUAAAGACAUUUGUAUUUUCUUUCUAUUGAACUUCGCUCACCUUUGUUUUCUGUCCCAUUGUCUUUAUGAGAGAUAAAGAUGCUGAUAUGCCAGUUUUUGUUUUUUUUAAUUGGCAGGAAAUUUGAUUUGCCUUUGGCUGUCUGUCAUAAAAUGUAGUGACAUCAUUU